rnacentral:rRNA from 1 species
AACGAACGCUGGCGGCAGGCCUAACACAUGCAAGUCGAACGCUCCGCAAGGGGAGUGGCAGACGGGUGAGUAACACGUGGGAACCUUCCCAUCGCUACGGAAUAGCUCAGGGAAACUUGGGGUAAUACCGUAUAAGCCCGCAAGGGGAAAGAUUUAUCGGCGAUGGAUGGGCCCGCGGCUGAUUAGCUAGUUGGUGAGGUAACGGCUCACCAAGGCGACGAUCAGUAGCUGGUCUGAGAGGACGACCAGCCACACUGGGACUGAGACACGGCCCAGACUCCUACGGGAGGCAGCAGUGGGGAAUAUUGGACAAUGGGCGCAAGCCUGAUCCAGCCAUGCCGCGUGAGUGACGAAGGUCUUCGGAUUGUAAAGCUCUUUUGGCGGGGACGAUAAUGACGGUACCCGCAGAAUAAGCCCCGGCUAACUUCGUGCCAGCCGCCGCCGUAACAC